GCUUGUACAAGGGCGGUAGGCCCGAAAGGGGAGAGGGGCGUCGCCGGGAAAUGGCGGCGAUGGGAGGCUGUGAAUAGGAGCUCCACUAGAUAAUAUAGAUAGAUAUAUAUAAUAUAGUGAAUAGGACAGGUUGAUUGUCAAAUUACUUCGCUUAGUUUUCCCUCAAAUUGCUAGGAGCAGGAAAGGCCUGCGUCUUAUCCAUUGAAUAUCAGUGCUGCAGACUGAGGGCUCUUCAUGAGGUGUCUCUGAAGCAUAUUCCUUUGUAUUUUGUUUUAGGAGUAUACUGAGUGCACUGGGUAACUAUGGUGUGCUGUUUAAAAUUGAGUUUCCACAAAUGAAAGCCUUUUUGUACCCUUUGCAUUAGGGAAGUCCAGUCUGUAAAGCCUGAGCUUUCUGUCUAUAUUCAUGGUUUGUAACAUCAAACUGCAUGAAAUGGUUCUUCACAAAACAGAAUCCCCCAUGAAGAGAGAAAAAUAGGCCUUUUUUUUUAUUGACACACCUGAGCAUAUGUUUAAGUUACCAGGCAAACAGCCGUGGGAACAGACACGGUCCAUUGUAAGAGGACAAAGGCAAUGAAGAACUCUCUGGAGGUUGAUCAUCUGCUAGGCCAUGUUUUCAGUAUUUGCUGAGUGUAGUGGAAAUGCUCAGUCAUGGCCUGAAAAAAGUGAUUGAGCACCUGGUGGGAAGACAGUGCCAAUCCAGGGGAGCUGAGGUGCAUGCAAUGAAGCUGAGAGACAGGAAGGGCUGGAGCCAGGAUCCAUCUCUUCCCUGACCUCAUCUGACAGUGGAAGGAAGGGUAUCUUGGUGGAGAUCCCUGCAUACCUGAGACCUUCUGAAGGUAGGGUCAGCAGGGACAAGUGCCAAAUACAGGGAAAGAGGGAGUCAUUUUUUCAGGUUCCUUUUCUGCAGUCACCUCACAGUAAACUAAGCAAGCAACACUGGAAGAUGCAUACAUGAAUAAAUUGUGUACUUCAGCCUUGGCAUUUUCCACUGUCUGCCAGCAGCUUUGUAUUUCACAAAAUUCUGUGCUAAUUUGCCUGCAUUCAUCAUGGAAAUCUUCCUAUUUGGGCAAGCUGUCUAAUGUCCUC